AGAAAACCUGGAGUUGAGUGACUUGAUUAUUUUGGUAGUAUUUCCUGAUCUGGAGUCUCUUCUAGAGUUGUACAAGUUCCAGGUAGAAGUAAUUUUCAUUUCUGUUUUGUGUAUUUAAUAAUAGCCGUGCUAACCACAAUCAUAGGGAGGCACUUUUUAAAUGGCUGUGUGGAAUGAUAAUACAAUUUUUAUAGCUAAUCAUCAUGAAUUACAAAGACAUAUGUUUCUCAAUAUUCUCUUUUACAUUUCUUGUAUUUGUAGGCAUUGAACAGUUCCACUGGAAAGCUGUGUCAUGAACUGCAAGAGCUCCUGAAAUAUCCAGUGGGUUUUUAAUCAUCAGAGUCUCAAGUCUAGCCUUACAAAACCUUAUAUGCUCCCAUUUCACCAUGCGGCUUAUGGUAUCCCAUGAUGCUCAGCUAAGCCUGCGGGUCCUGGGGAAUAACCACGGAUAUGUAGAAGAGACACGUUCAUCUAACAGGACACUGGCAGAGACCAUAAAUAUCUGACCUACUUUAUGUAUCACUACCAGAAUAAAAAUGGAGUAUCCAUCAAAGAUGCCAGCAGCAAAUUCAUCAGCCUGAGUUUGAAAACCUUGACUUCACCAAACCUUCCAAGAUGCAUUUACGUCUGGACUUUCCCUUGUGAAAUUAAACUGGAGAAGAUCAUACAGCCAAGGAUUUCACCAACAGGCCCCAAGAAUGUAUAGGUC
rnacentral:lncRNA from 1 species